AGAGUUUGAUCAUGGCUCAGGAUGAACGCUAGCUACAGGCUUAACACAUGCAAGUCGAGGGGGCAGCAUGGUCUUAGCUUGCUAAGGCUGAUGGCGACCGGCGCACGGGGUGAGUAACACGUAUCCAACCUGCCGUCUACUCUUGGCCAGCCUUCUGAAGGAAGAUAAUCAGGAUGGGAGUCAUGAGUUCACAUGUCCGCACUGAUUAAAGGUAA
rnacentral:rRNA from 1 species